GACGAACCGAGCGAACGUUAUUCGGAAUCACUGGGCUUAAAGGGCGCGUAGGCGGGCGAUCAAGUCAGGGGUGAAAGCCCCCAGCUCAACUGGGGAAGUGCCUUUGAUACUGGUUGCCUCGAGGGAGGUAGGGGCGUGCGGAACUUCCGGUGGAGCGGUGAAAUUCGUAGAUAUUCGCAAGAACACCAGUGGCGAAGGCGGCUCACUGGCCCGGUACUGACGCUGAGGUGCGAAAGUGUGGGGAGCAAACAGG
rnacentral:rRNA from 1 species